GAAAUGCGAUAAGCAAUGUGAAUUGCAGAAUUCAGAGAAUCAUCGAAUCUUUGAACUCACAUUGCGGCCGCCAGUAUUCUGGCGGGCAUGCCUGUUCGAGCGUCAUUUCAACCAUCAAGCCCCAGGCUUGUGUUGGGGACCUGCGGCUGCCGCAGGCCCUGAAAACCAGUGGCGGGCUCUCUGUCACACCGGGCGUAGUAGAUUUUAUCUCGCUCAGGGCGUGCUGCGCGUUCCGGCCGUUAAAAGCCUUUUUUACCCAAGGUUGACCCCGGAUCAGGUAGGAAUACCCGCUGAACUUCA
rnacentral:misc_RNA from 1 species